GACGAACGCUGGCGGCGUGCUUAACACAUGCAAGUCGAACGGAAAGGCCCUGCUUUUGUGGGGUGCUCGAGUGGCGAACGGGUGAGUAACACGUGAGUAACCUGCCCUUGACUUUGGGAUAACUUCAGGAAACUGGGGCUAAUACCGGAUAGGAGCUCCUGCUGCAUGGUGGGUGUUGGAAAGUUUCGGCGGUUGGGGAUGGACUCGCGGCUUAUCAGCUUGUUGGUGGGGUAGUGGCUUACCAAGGCUUUGACGGGUAGCCGGCCUGAGAGGGUGACCGGCCACAUUGGGACUGAGAUACGGCCCAGACUCCUACGGGAGGCAGCAGUGGGGAAUAUUGCACGAUGGGCGGAAGCCUGAUGCAGCAACGCCGCGUGCGGGAUGAAGGCCUUCGGGUUGUAAACCGCUUUCGCCUGUGACGAAGCGUGAGUGACGGUAAUGGGUAAAGAAGCACCGGCUAACUACG
rnacentral:rRNA from 1 species